rnacentral:rRNA from 1 species
UACGUAGGGGGCAAGCGUUGUCCGGAUUUACUGGGCGUAAAGCGCGCGUAGGCGGAAGCGCUAGUCCGGCCUGAAAGCCCCCGGCUCAACUGGGGAGGGUCACGCGAUACUGAUCGACUCGAAGGCAGGAGAGGGUAGUGGAAUUCCCGGUGUAGUGGUGAAAUGCGUAGAUAUCGGGAGGAACACCAGUGGCGAAGGCGACUACCUGGCCUGUUCUUGACGCUGAGGCGCGAAAGCUAGGGGAGCAAACGGG